rnacentral:rRNA from 1 species
UACGAAGGGGGCUAGCGUUGCUCGGAAUUACUGGGCGUAAAGCGCACGUAGGCGGAUUGUUAAGUCGGGGGUGAAAUCCUGGAGCUCAACUCCAGAACUGCCUUCGAUACUGGCGAUCUCGAGUUCGGGAGAGGUGAGUGGAACUGCGAGUGUAGAGGUGAAAUUCGUAGAUAUUCGCAAGAACACCCGUGGCGAAGGCGGCUCUCUGGAACGCAACUGACGCUGAGACGCGAAAGCGUGGGGAGCAAACAGG